CCUUCCCUUUGUGUCACUUACAGCCUAAACCUUUUAAAAAAUUGAAUUUUUGCCAUUUGCCAUCCAACCAAACGACGAACUUUGACUAAUUUUGACCAAAUUGAAGGGGAUAAUAUGGUAACUUUCCAUAUUUACAAAUAUUAACAAUAAAAAUAAUAAAAAUAAAGCAAAAAAGAAAUCUACCCCACCCCACCCAUCUUCAUCUUCUCCAACCAACGAAACUGAUUUACGAUCGUGGCCGAGUGGCGACCAUCACCAUCUAUUAACAUGUUGCACCAUCCAUGGCCAUGGUUGCCACCGCUAUCACAAAUUUCAAACAAUAACCCAAAUAGUAUCACCAAAUUUCAAAACCACAAACUCAAACAUAGCGAAAAACAAAAACCUAUCAAAGAAGUGCCUUCAUUUUUCAUUUGCAAUCUCUUCAGCAGUCACAAACAACAAAUCUGACGAUGCUAUCGAAUCUUUUCGGUUGGAAACUAACGACGUUGAAACCUUCGACAAACAAUUGGGGCUCCAAUGCCAAAACCUGAGUUAUACCCACAACUACCCAUAACACUGCAUAUGGUUGAUUGUGGGGAACUAGAAACCCAUCAUCCCUGUAAAAAAAAACUGAAAAAACAAAUUAAAGCAUCUUUUCUCUUCGACAACAAAAAAUCUAUACUUCUUUUUUUUCUAACCAUCCUCUUUUUCAUUUGAUGGAUUUUCACAGAAAUUGGACUUUGAAAAUUGCAUUGAAUCUAAACCUAAGAAGUUCCAAAUUUAAAUCUUUAGCAAAAAUGCAAUUAUCUAUAGAAAUUUUUAAUCAAGCCAUCGCCACCGUCACUCACUCUCUUCCUUCCAGGCCCCAUCCCCAUUAAUAACCAAUCAAUAAAUUUGGAAGAAUUAAGAAGCACCUUCAAAACCUUAUAAUUGGGAAAUCGAAAUAGGACACAGACUACAAAAUGGGAUAGCCAAUGGAUGGUGGGCUGGCCGCUGGCGAUAGACAAUGGGUUACGUGAGGUGGAGAGGGCUCUAUGCUUGGGUUUUGGUUUUGGGAGUAUAGCAGGG
rnacentral:lncRNA from 1 species